rnacentral:rRNA from 1 species
UACGUAGGGGGCAAGCGUUAUCCGGAUUUACUGGGUGUAAAGGGAGCGUAGACGGCAUGGCAAGUCAGAUGUGAAAGCCCGGGGCUCAACCCCGGGACUGCAUUUGAAACCGUCAGGCUGGAGUGCAGGAGAGGUAAGCGGAAUUCCUAGUGUAGCGGUGAAAUGCGUAGAUAUUAGGAGGAACACCAGUGGCGAAGGCGGCUUACUGGACUGUAACUGACGUUGAGGCUCGAAAGCGUGGGGAGCAAACAGG